CUGUUUACACAGAACUUCGCACGCUUUUCAAAGAAAAGUCUAUUUUGGAGUCCACACUUUUCAGUGCUCCGGACUGCCUGGUGUAUGUUGGCCUGUAGGAUGGAGUUUGCUAAGAUUUCUGCAGCUUAUUAAAGAAGUUACUACAAUGUGAUAUCGAAGUCACCGAGGGAUAUAACGUUAUAGACGGACAAGAUUGAACAACAUAAUGCAGGCUAACAGCAUCAGAGCAAUGAAGGCAUGUCAU